UAUUUCCUCAAGUAAUUAUUAUUAUUUUUUUUUUUUUGAACUAUCGUUUGUAUUCGAAGGAUGCGAGUUGACUCAGAACAGCUCGGACAAGGAAAAGGUUGAAAUGGAGAAAUAUGAAAAGAUCUGUUUAGUCGGAAAAGAAGUGCUGCAUUAUUUCGGGCAGAUGGUCUAUACCCUGCAGCAUGUUCACAACAAGCUCAUCUUGCACAGGGACCUCAAAUCCCAGAACAUUUUGCUCCUUCAAAACAAGAGGACUGAAAAUUGGGAAUUUUGGGAUCUCCAGUAUUAAGUAGCAAGAAUAAAGCUUCAACAGUUCUUUACCAACUUAUAAAAGCUAAAUUGCUUCGUUCUGUUUCUCUUUGCUUCUCAAGAACCUCUUCUGUUUUGAAAAAACAAAUACUCCAUUGUUACAUUGAUGUUGUUUCCUUUAACUGUUAUAAGAUAUAACCAGAAGAGUGACAUCUGGGCCCUUGGCUGCAUUCUGUAUCAGCUGCUGACUCUGAAGAGACCCUUUGAAGUUGAUAGGAGGGCCUCAGAGACGAAUCGUUCCGUAACCGAACAGAUUUCUCUCCAAAAUAUCUGGUUGUUUAUGAUUGAGACAUUGGAAGCUUUUCUUCUGCCAUCGAAUCCCACACAUAAAUCCUUAUACUACUGGGGCCGAUGUCUGGAAUCGCCAGAAGAAGCUAAAGAUUACUCCAAAACUCAAGUCCCCUUGUGCUUUCAUGGAAAAGUUGUUUCUGCCAUUGCAUGUGACGGUAAAAGAUGCAUCAUUGUGGAGGAUGAUACCUCUAAAAAUUUAACUACUCGCGAAAUUUGACCUUUUUUUUCUGUAUGCUGAAUUGACAUUGAAAUUGCGAGUAAAAUAUUGUCUUUUCAUCUGUUUUUUUAUCAAAAUUUUUAUUUUUGGAACAUUAAUAAACCAACGAGCUCUCAUGUCUCAUCUGAGUCAUCCGGAAAUGUAAUCGGAUCAGGUUUUCAGAUUUAUCAUUGAACUUUAUGCUAAUGGUUUUGAAGCUGGGCCCAGAGCCUGUUGCUGGUCGUCACAUUUGUAUUUGUAAAAUGUUCUGUAGGUAAAGGUGCGUGACAGGGUUGCCUUGCUAACUCUUUUCUUGGUAUGUCUGCUACACUAAAUCAAAUCAUCAAAACUAACCUUGACUUUGUUACACCUAAUGCAUCUACUCACAUGAAAUAAUACGUCUUAAGAUCUUAUCUGAUUCAAAUUACUUUUAAAAUAAAUUAGCACAAGAGAAACAAGCCUCUGCAAUUCCAUCAUAUAAAAAUUUUUCCUCUUUGUAGAACACUACUUCUGUGCUCUCUAUGAGUCGCCAUCUAGCUCUGCAUGGCAAUACGGCAGCAAGCUUUCUUACCUAGUGAAUAUUUGUAAGUUAAUUUGCUUAGAUUUUAGAAAUUCCAAAAAACUUUGUGGCAAGUCAUGUUUUUUCUCAUGAGCGUUACCUUGAUUAACCCAUUAAGCAUGCCAAAGCUCCCAUUGUGGAAACAUCUACCUUUAAAUUUUUUUCUCUUCAGAAAUUGGAGUUAUUUAUAAAAAAUACAUUCCAUGUGAGUUUUAACAAAACGGACGAGAUUUAAAAAAAAAUCAGUAGAAUCUAUGAAUUGUAUACAUUUUUCAAAAAAAUGGAACUAAAUGGAAAAAAACUAAAUUAUGGGAUACUUAAUUUAUUUCAAAUGCUCUGCAUAUUUAAAGCAGAUAUUCUAACAAAUAAGAUACGAAAAACCCGGAAUGAAACGUUUAGUUUAAAGCAAUGCUAGAAGCACUUAAAGUUUUUGCUCCCGGAGCGGGAGCUUUGGUGGGGACCGGUAGCAUUCUUCCUCUUUUAUGUGCGAGAGCAUACAAUGAAGAAAUAAAUGCUGCUAGGCAGAAAGGGGCAACCUACGUCACGAAGCACGUAUACUCCUUUCUGGGUCUUUCGAAAAAGGAUUCUUGGAACUAUGUUUUGUUAAUGUUUCCUCUAUCCUCAAGAUAGUUUGACUGAUAAGAGAAAAUAGACUAAAAGACUACCCUCUUAGUAAAAGUACGUUAUUAGUAGCAAAUGAAAGAGGGUGUAUCGAAUCCAUUCAAACUGAGAACUUAACUGUGGUAAAAUGGAAGGAUAACAAAAUAGUAUGUUUAGCUUCUAAUUUUGAGACAGAAGCUCUCUUAGGAAUUGUCAAAAGAUGGUGUUUUGAAGAAAAAAAAGAUUAAAUUUUCCUCAACCUCAUUUAAUUUCAUCAUAUAAUAAAAAUAUAGGUGGUAUGGAUUUCUUAGAUAGAUUUCUAAGUAUAUGCAGUACUUGUAAUAAAAGGAAAAAUGGUGGUGGCCUUUUUUUAUGAACAUACUGAAUAUGGCUGUUGUAGCAGCCUGGAGAAUUCACAAAGAACUCAAGGGCGAAAUGAUGCAACUAAUAUUUUUAAAGGAUAUAACUACAGCUUCAAUGAAAAGUUCCAUGAAAUAUUAUGUAAAUCCGCAGUCCAUGGCAUUGCGGACCAGUGAACUCUACUGUACAUUUUGAUGGAGUAAACCAUUUCAUUAUAAGCGUGGAAAAACAAUCUCGAUGUAAAUAUGGUAAAAAGAGCACUCAAAUCAAUGGUAAAAAAUGCAAUGUAAUGCUGCAUCGA